rnacentral:rRNA from 1 species
CCCAGACUCCUACGGGAGGCAGCAGUCGGGAAUAUUGCGCAAUGGAGGAAACUCUGACGCAGUGACGCCGCGUAUAGGAAGAAGGUUUUCGGAUUGUAAACUAUUGUCCACAGGGAAGAUAAAAGACUGUACCUGUGAAGAAAGCUCCGGCUAACUACGUGCCAGCAGCCGCGGUAAUACGUAGGGAGCAAGCGUUGUCCGGAAUUACUGGGUGUAAAGGGAGCGUAGGCGGGCGAGAAAGUUGAAUGUUAAAUCUACCGGCUUAACUGAUAGCUGCGUUCAAAACUUCUUGUCUUGAGUGAAGUAGAGGCAGGCGGAAUUCCUAGUGUAGCGGUGAAAUGCGUAGAUAUUAGGAGGAACACCAGUGGCGAAGGCGGCCUGCUGGGCUUUAACUGACGCUGAGGCUCGAAAGCGUGGGGAGCAAACAGGAUUAGAUACCCGAGUA